CUACGGGACGCUGCAGUGAGGAAUAUUGCACAAUGGGGGGAACCCUGAUGCAGCAACGCCGCGUGGAGGAUGACGCAUUUCGGUGUGUAAACUCCUUUUAUAUGUCAAGAAAAUGACGGUAGUAUAUGAAUAAGCACCGGCUAACUCCGUGCCAGCAGCCGCGGUAAUACGGAGGGUGCAAGCGUUACUCGGAAUCACUGGGCGUAAAGGACGCGUAGGCGGGUUGGAAAGUCAGGUGUGAAAUCCUACAGCUUAACUGUAGAACUGCACUUGAAACUUCUAAUCUAGAGUAUGGGAGGGGGAGAUGGAAUUAGUGGUGUAGGGGUAAAAUCCGCAGAUAUCACUAGGAAUACCUAAAGCGAAGGCGAUCUCCUGGAACAUUACUGACGCUAAGGCGUGAAAGCGUGGGGAGCAAACAGGAUUAGAUACCCCCGUAGUC
rnacentral:rRNA from 1 species